AUUGAACGCUGCGGCAUGCCUUACACAUGCAAGUCGAACGGCAGCACGGGUGCUUGCACCUGGUGGCGAGUGGCGAACGGGUGAGUAAUAUAUCGGAACGUACCUUAUUGUGGGGGAUAACGCAGCGAAAGCUGUGCUAAUACCGCAUAAUCCCUAAGGGGGAAAGCGGGGGGCCGUAAGGCCUCGCGCAAUUAGAGCGGCCGAUACCUGAUUAGCUAGUUGGUGAGGUAAAGGCUCACCAAGGCAACGAUCAGUAGCUGGUCUGAGAGGACGAUCAGCCACACUGGGACUGAGACACGGCCCAGACUCCUACGGGAGGCAGCAGUGGGGAAUUUUGGACAAUGGGGGCAACCCUGAUCCAGCAAUGCCGCGUGAGUGAAGAAGGCCUUCGGGUUGUAAAGCUCUUUUGUCAGGGAAGAAACAGCAGCUCUAACACAGUCUGCGAAUGACGGUACCUGAAGAAUAAGCACCGGCUAACUACGUGCCAGCAGCCGCGGUAA
rnacentral:rRNA from 1 species